rnacentral:lncRNA from 1 species
GGAUAAACAAACAUCAGGCAAGAGAUCCACUGCUGGAGCAAGCUUGUGUGGAGAGUAACGUGGACUUCAACAAGCUUGGUUUGCCAAAAGAGAUGACGCUGUGGGUUGAUCCAUUUGAAGUGUGCUGCAGGUAUGGGGAGAAGAACCGGCCGUUCACAGUUGCUCACUUUGAAGGAGAGGAGAACCCGGAGCUUUCCCAGCAGAUCAAUUAUGCUGUUGACAGAGCAGCUCUCGACUAUCCUUCUGGCACCUCUUCGGAUGAGGAGAGCUUCAACAGGGAACCAAAAGCUAUCCCUACUGUCAGCAAUCCUAACAGUGUCUACCAGUUUGACUACUGCAAGACACCCUUACAGUCCUGGUCUCAGUAUCUUCAUAGGAAGACGCACACAAGUGGCUCAUCCUAUGCCCAGCACAGGGCUUACAAAGCCUUCAGGCCAGCUGUUGCUUUCCCAGGACCACGUGUUGAUAGAUACCACUGGAUCAAUACCAAGCGCUAGAUCUGUGGCUGUCCCUGUUCCAAGAGCCUCCAACACUGAGCUGUGCUGUGGGAUGAAAGCUGGUGCUACGGAG